rnacentral:rRNA from 1 species
GAUGAACGCUGGCGGCGUGCCUAAUACAUGCAAGUCGAGCGGACCAAAGAGAGCUUGCUCUCUGAGGUUAGCGGCGGACGGGUGAGUAACACGUGGGUAACCUGCCUGUAAGACGGGGAUAACUUCGGGAAACCGAAGCUAAUACCGGAUGAUAAAGAGAAACGCCUGUUUCUUUUUUGAAAGUCGGCCUUGUGCUGACGCUUACAGAUGGGCCCGCAGCGCAUUAGCUAGUUGGUGAGGUAACGGCUCACCAAGGCGACGAUGCGUAGCCGACCUGAGAGGGUGAUCGGCCACACUGGGACUGAGACACGGCCCAGACUCCUACGGGAGGCAGCAGUAGGGAAUCUUCGGCAAUGGACGAAAGUCUGACCGAGCAACGCCGCGUGAGCGAUGAAGGCCUUCGGGUCGUAAAGCUCUGUUGUCAGAGAAGAACAAGUACCGGAGUAACUGCCGGUACCUUGACGGUACCUGACCAGAAAGCCACGGCUAACUACGUGCCAGCAGUCGCCGUAAGAC